CGGAAAGACCCCGUGGACCUUUACUACAGCUUGACACUGCUAUUGGGAUAAAAAUGUGCAGGAUAGGCGGGAGGCUUUGAUCCAUAGACGCCAGUUUAUGGUGAGCCAUUGUUGAGAUACCGCUCUUUUUUAUUCUGAUAGCUAACUAGCUUGAGUUAUCCUCAAGUAGGACAAUGUCUGGUGGGUAGUUUGACUGGGGCGGUCGCCUCCCAAAAUGUAACGGAGGCUUACAAAGGUUGGCUCAGAACGGUUGGAAAUCGUUCGUAGAGUAUAAAGGCAUAAGCCAGCUUAACUGCGAGACAUACACGUCAAGCAGAGACGAAAGUCGGUCUUAGUGAUCCGGUGGUUCUGUGUGGAAGGGCCAUCGCUCAAAGGAUAAAAGGUACCCCGGGGAUAACAGGCUGAUCUCCCCCAAGAGCUCACAUCGACGGGGAGGUUUGGCACCUCGAUGUCGGCUCAUCGCAUCCUGGGGCUGGAGCAGGUCCCAAGGGUAUGGCUGUUCGCCAUUUA
rnacentral:rRNA from 1 species